CCCAAUCCGAAUUUUGACAUCUGGACAAGCUCCAUAUAAUUCGCCUCGUAUGUUAUUAGCUGCUCGUAUUGCCCAUCCAUGUUCCAUAUCAAUUGGCCAUUUUUGCUUCUUAUAAAGAUCUUUAGACAUGAGAUUUAUUUCAGAACCAUGGUCCACCAAGGCAACUAUUGGUUCUUCUAUAUCUCCUACCUUUACCAAUACCUCAGUAGUUGCCCUUGCCUACUGCUUUCGAGUAUAAUGGCUCAAAGUUUCCAUUUCCUUGUCACUAGAAUCUUCGAAACGUACUCGCUGAUUAUACCCAUUCUUUUCAUUUGUUGGUUGCUUGUAACCAAUAUCAACCUCUUCUUCAUCUCUACAUAUUCUU
rnacentral:lncRNA from 1 species